AUGCCAGCAGUUCUGGGAGUGACUGUGGAUCAAGGUCCAAAGGCUUUGGUUAAGGGAGAGGGCAAAACUGUGUAUCUGCCCUGCAAAGUGACUGGUCUGGGCUCUUCAGACUAUAUCCAUUGGUACCAAAUAAAAGAGGGUGAAGCCCCAUCGAGGCUACUCUAUAUCAAUCAAGGAGGUAUUAUUACUCUUGAUACCAACAAUCCCCAAGCAAAUUACUUCACCGUGGAAAAAAACAAAGCUUUAUGAUCUAAAACUGAGAAACACUCAAACGAGUCAUGCUGCCGCUUACUUCUGCGCCUACUGGGACUCAAGCAGCCACAGUGAGAAGAUUUACUCACAUCCUAGGCUGGGUGGAUGA